CCUACGGGAGGCAGCAGUGGGGAAUAUUGCACAAUGGGGGAAACCCUGAUGCAGCGACGCCGCGUGAGUGAAGAAGUAUUUCGGUAUGUAAAGCUCUGUCAGCAGGGAAGAAAAUGACGGUACCUGACCAAGAAGCCCCGGCUAACUACGUGCCAGCAGCCGCGGUAAUACGUAGGGGGCAAGCGUUAUCCGGAUUUACUGGGUGUAAAGGGAGCGUAGACGGCGGCGCAAGUCCGGAGUGAAAGCCCACGGCCCAACCGUGGGACUGCUCUGGAAACUGUGCGGCUUGAGUGCGGGAGGGGCAG
rnacentral:rRNA from 1 species